rnacentral:rRNA from 1 species
UGAGUAACACGUAGGUGAUCUGCCCUCUGGCUGGGGAUAGCCUGUGGAAACACAGGGUAAUACCGAAUACGUUCCCGAGACUGUGGUUUUGGGAACAAAGGCGCUUCGGCGUCACCAGAGGAUGAGCCUGCGGCUGAUUAGCUAGUUGGUAGGGUAAGAGCCUACCAAGGCGACGAUCAGUAGCCGGCCUGAGAGGGUGAACGGCCACACUGGGACUGAGAUACGGCCCAGACUUCUACGGGAGGCAGCAGCUAAGAAUCUUCCGCAAUGGGCGAAAGCCUGACGGAGCGACGCCGCGUGGGUGACGAAGGCCGAGAGGUUGUAAAGCCCUUUUCUGACCGAAGAAUAACCCUGGGAGGCAAUGCCUGGGAGAUGACAGUAAGUCAGGAAUAAGCCCCGGCCAAUUACGUGCCAGCAGCCGCGGUAACACGUAUGGGGCGAGCGUUGUUCGGAAUUAUUGGGCGUAAAGGGCGCGCAGGCGGUCUCAUAAGCCUGGUGUGUAAGCCAGCAGCUCAACUGUUGUUGUGCGCUGGGAACUGUGAGACUUGAGUUCAGGAGGGGAAGCUGGAAUUCCAGGUGUAGGGGUGAAAUCUGUAGAUAUCUGGAAGAACAUCAGUGGCGAAGGCGAGCUUCUGGCCUUGAACUGACGCUGAGGCGCGAAAGCGUGGGGAGCGAACAGGAUUAGAUACCCUGGUAGUCCACGCCGUAAACGAUGUGCACUAGGUGUUGGACCAUUGACGGUUCAGUGCCGUAGCUAACGCGUUAAGUGCACCGCCUGGGGAGUAUGCCCGCAAGGGUGAAACUCAAAGGAAUUGAUGGGGGCCCGCACAAGCGGUGGAGCAUGUGAUUUAAUUAGAUGAUACGCGAGAAUCCUUACCAGGGCUAGACAUCAGCCGGACGGCAGUAGAGAUUCUGCUUCCCUUUGGGUCCGGUUGACAGGUGCUGCAUGGCAGUCGUCAGCUCAUGCCAUGAGGUGUUGGGUUAAGUCCCGCAACGAGCGCAACCCGUGUUAUGAGUGGCCGAGCAUUUUGGAUGGGGACUCAGAUGGAACUGCCGGUGACAAACCGGAGGAAGGUGGGGACGACGUCAAGUCAUCAUG